AAUAAGGUGCCUGAGAAAAGGAAUAUCUUGAUAGGAUGGAUUAUGUAAUUUAUUUACCCUUAUUA
rnacentral:tRNA from 1 species